ensembl:lncRNA
AUGGAGGACCCAGAGACCGAGCUGACCUUCGCCGAGCCGGACGCGCUCGGCGCCGACUUCAUCACGGUGGAGCUGGACACGCAGCCCAUCGAGUACGUGGUGAAGUGGGCGGAGGUGGGCUCCAAGUUCACCAUUUCCUGCGUGAAGAAGGACGCGGAGGAGGGCUCCUGCUUCACGCCGGGCCAGGUUAAGGGCGAGGCCGAUGACACGUUUUUCGCCCAGUACGAGGCGGUGUACCCCGAAUGCGAGGACGUGGUGACGUCGGUGGAGGUGCCCCAGCCGGACCGGAGCGACUCCGAGACGGAAGACCUGACCGAGGCCGCGAUCAGUCAGCUGGGCUGCAUGGACGAGGACGGCGCGGUCUUGGCUUGGGACAAGGGCGUCACCAGAACUCAGCCCUACUACUGCCACAUCUGCGGGAAGGGCUACAGCCACUCCUCCAGCCUCUCCCGGCACGUGCAGUCCCACACGAGAAACCGGCAGGGCGGGCCGCCCAAAGAGGAGUACGGCAAGCCGGGCGAGAACAAAAAGACGCUGCAGUGCAACGUGUGCGGCGUGCGCUGCAACGGCAAGCGGCUGCUGGCCAUCCACAAGAAGAGCCACAAGAGCAAGAGGCUGCACACGUGCAACGCCUGCGGCAAGCACUUCAACCACAGCUCCAGCCUGUCCCGGCACCGGCUCAUCCACAAAGGCAAAGCCGCGCCCUCCGCCAAGGCCCCGCCCCCCCCCGCUCGCCCUGCCCGACCUCGGCCUCGCCCAGGUCCCCGCCCACGUCGCGGCCAAAAAGAACAAGGCGGCCGGCGGCGAGAAGCAGUACCAGUGCUCCCAGUGCGACCGCGUCUUCAGAAACUCCACCAGCCUGUCCAAGCACCAGGUGGCGCACGUGCGGAAGCUCCUCAACUCCUACACGCAGAACAAGGACGCGCUGGCCAAGUCCUCGGACCUGAAGAUCCGCCUGAAGCUCUGCUCCCGCGGCAAGCCCAACUACUACACGCUGUGCAAGAAGAACAAGCGGUCCAAGGCGGCCCGGGCGCGGCUGGCGGCGCAGGACACCGCCCGGCCCUACGCCUGCCUGCACUGCGACAAGCGCUUCGGCAACACCGCCAGCCUGGCGCGCCACGAGCACACGCACGCCGGCCAGAAGCAGUACACCUGCAACGUCUGCAAGAAGACCUUCAUCCGCCUGUCCAACCUCAAGCAGCACCAGCAGACCCACUCCUCCGGCAAGCUGUACUCCUGCAGCCACUGCGGCAAGACUUUCGUCCACUCGUCCAGCUUCUCCCGCCACAAGAAGGUCCACAUGGGGGACAGACUGAGCCCCAAGCCGGAGCAGGGCAACCUGGCCAUCGACGAGGGCGCCCCGCUCGAGUCGGACUCCGACUGAGACCUCCGAAUCCUCCGUUCCCCCCCCGUCGUCUCCGACCCCCUGUCCCCCACCCCCUUUUUAUUAGAUUUUGGACUUGUUGGAAUUGUUUUUUUUUUUUUUUUUUUAUUCUAGUAGCGGAUUCUGCCUCGCGCUGCCGAGGCUUCAAUCAUAAAUUAUUCUGUCCCCAGGCUCCUCCCCUUUUUAGUGAAUAUAUGCACUGGCCAUUUGCCAUAAUGAAAAUUGUUCAGAGUCGAUAUGGAGUUUUUUUGGUAGCCAUUCCCUGUUUAGUUGUAGAGCUACGGAUGAAUAAUUUAAUGCUAAUUUAA